UGGGGAAUAUUGCACAAUGGGGGAAACCCUGAUGCAGCGACGCCGCGUGAGCGAAGAAGGCUUUCGAGUCGUAAAGCUCUGUCCUAUGAGAAGAUAAUGACGGUAUCAUAGGAGGAAGCCCUGGCUAAAUACGUGCCAGCAGCCGCGGUAAUACGUAUGGGGCGAGCGUUGUCCGGAAUUAUUGGGCGUAAAGGGUACGUAGGUGGUUUUUUAAGUCAGGUGUCAAAGCGUGGAGCUUAACUCCAUUAAGCACUUGAAACUGAAAGACUUGAGUGAAGGAGAGGAAAGUGGAAUUCCUAGUGUAGCGGUGAAAUGCGUAGAUAUUAGGAGGAAUACCGGUUGCGAAGGCGACUUUCUGGACUUUUACUGACGCUCAGGUACGAAAGCGUGGGGAGCAAACAGG
rnacentral:rRNA from 1 species